rnacentral:rRNA from 1 species
UACGUAGGGUGCGAGCGUUAAUCGGAAUUACUGGGCGUAAAGCGUGCGCAGGCGGUUGUGCAAGACAGAUGUGAAAUCCCCGGGCUCAACCUGGGAACUGCAUUUGUGACUGCAUGGCUAGAGUACGGUAGAGGGGGAUGGAAUUCCGCGUGUAGCAGUGAAAUGCGUAGAUAUGCGGAGGAACACCGAUGGCGAAGGCAAUCCCCUGGACCUGUACUGACGCUCAUGCACGAAAGCGUGGGGAGCAAACAGG